rnacentral:rRNA from 1 species
GAUUAACGCUGGCGGCGUGCAUAACACAUACAAGUCGAACGGAGAAGGGUGCUUCGGUACUCUUCUUAGUGGCGGACGGGUGAGUAACGCGUGAGUAAUCUACCUUCCAGUGCGGGAUAACAACCGGAAACAGCUGCUAAUACCGCAUGAAAUGGCAGCAUCGCAUGGUGCAACCAUCAAAGAUUUAUCGCUGGAAGAUGAGCUUGCGUCCGAUUAGAUAGUUGGCGGAGUAACAGCCCACCAAGUCGACGAUCGGUAGCCGGACUGAGAGGUUGAACGGCCACAUUGGAACUGAGAUACGGUCCAGACUCCUACGGGAGGCAGCAGUGGGGAAUAUUGGGCAAUGGGCGAAAGCCUGACCCAGCGACGCCGCGUGAGGGAAGAAGAUCUUCGGAUUGUAAACCUUAGUCAACAGGGAAGAAGAAAGUGACGGUACCUGUGGAGGAAGCCACGGCUAACUACGUGCCAGCAGCCGCGGUAACAC